rnacentral:rRNA from 1 species
AUUGAACGCUGGCGGCAGGCCUAACGCAUGCAAGUCGAGCGGCAGCGGGAAAGUAGCUUGCUACUUUUGCCGGCGAGUGGCGGACGGGUGAGUAAUGCCUGGGAAAUUGCCCAGUCGAGGGGGAUAACAGUUGGAAACGACUGCUAAUACCGCAUACGCCCUACGGGGGAAAGCAGGGGACCUUCGGGCCUUGCGCGAUUGGAUAUGCCCAGGUGGGAUUAGCUAGUUGGUGAGGUAAUGGCUCACCAAGGCGACGAUCCCUAGCUGGUCUGAGAGGAUGAUCAGCCACACUGGAACUGAGACACGGUCCAGGCUCCUACGGGAGGCAGCAGUGGGGAAUAUUGCACAAUGGGGGAAACCCUGAUGCAGCCAUGCCGCGUGUGUGAAGAAGGCCUUCGGGUUGUAAAGCACUUUCAGCGAGGAGGAAAGGUUGGUAGCUAAUAACUGCCAGCUGUGACGUUACUCGCAGAAGAAGCACCGGCUAACUCCGUGCCAGCAGCCGCCGUAACAC